rnacentral:rRNA from 1 species
UACAGAGGGGGCAAGCGUUGUUCGGAAUUACUGGGCGUAAAGGGCGCGUAGGCGGCCUGUUAAGUCGGACGUGAAAUCCCUCGGUUCAACCGGGGAACUGCGUCCGAUACUGGCGGGCUUGAAUCCGGGAGAGGGAUGCGGAAUUCCAGGUGUAGCGGUGAAAUGCGUAGAUAUCAGGAAGAACACCCGUGGCGAAAGCGGCUCUCUGGAACGGUACUGACGCUGAGACGCGAAAGCGUGGGGAGCGAACAGG